GCCUGGAUGGCUCAGUUGGUUAAGCAUCUGACUUUAGCUCAGGUCACGAUCUCACAGUUUGUGGGUUUGAACCUCGCAUCAGGCU
rnacentral:tRNA from 1 species